AACGAACGCUGGCGGCGCGCCUAAUACAUGCAAGUCGAGCGAGAAGACGUAGCAAUACGUUUGUAAGGCGGCGAACGGGUGAGGAACACAUGGGUAACCUACCCUAGAGUGGGGAAUAACUAGCCGAAAGGUUAGCUAAUACCGCGUACGCUCCUUGGACUUCGGUACAGGGAGGAAAGCGAUACCGUGGGUAUCGCGCUCUUGGAUGGGCUCAUGUCCUAUCAGCUUGUUGGUGAGGAACGGCUCACCAAGGCUUCGACGGGUAGCUGGUCUGAGAGGACGAUCAGCCACACUGGCACUGCGACACGGGCCAGACUCCUACGGGAGGCAGCAGUAAGGAAUAUUGCGCAAUGGGCGAAAGCCUGACGCAGCGACGCCGCGUGGGGGA
rnacentral:rRNA from 1 species